rnacentral:rRNA from 1 species
GCCUACGACCAUAUCACCCUGAAUGCGCCCGAUCUCGUCUGAUCUCAGAAGCUAAGCAUGGUCGAGCCUGGUUAGUACUUGGAUGGGAGACUGCCUGGAAAUACCAGGUGUUGUAGGCU